rnacentral:rRNA from 1 species
CAGCCGCCGCGGUAAUACGUAGGUCCCGAGCGUUGUCCGGAUUUAUUGGGCGUAAAGCGAGCGCAGGCGGUUAGAUAAGUCUGAAGUUAAAGGCUGUGGCUUAACCAUAGUACGCUUUGGAAACUGUUUAACUUGAGUGCAAGAGGGGAGAGUGGAAUUCCAUGUGUAGCGGUGAAGUGCGUAGAUAUAUGGAGGAACACCGGUGGCGAAAGCGGCUCUCUGGCUUGUAACUGACGCUGAGGCUCGAAAGCGUGGGGAGCAAACAGGAUUAGAUACCCCCGUAGUCCCUGUCUCUUAUACA